CACGUAGGGGGCGAGCGUUGUCCGGAUUUAUUGGGCGUAAAGAGCUCGUAGGUGGUUCACUAAGUCGGGUGUGAAACCUCCAGGCUCAACCUGGAGACGCCACCUGAUACUGGUGUGACUAGAGUCCGGAAGGGGAGUGUGGAACUCCUGGUGUAGCGGUGAAAUGCGCAGAUAUCAGGAGGAACACCGAUGGCGAAGGCAGGUCUCUGGGCCGAUACUGACGCUGAGGAGCGAAAGCGUGGGGAGCGAACAGG
rnacentral:rRNA from 1 species